rnacentral:rRNA from 1 species
CAUCCCGACUUACCAACCCGAUGCAAACUACGAAUACCGAAGAAUGUUAUCACGGGAGACACACGGCGGGUGCUAACGUCCGUCGUGAAGAGGGAAACAACCCAGACCGCCAGCUAAGGUCCCAAAGUCAUGGUUAAGUGGGAAACGAUGUGGGAAGGCACAGACAGCCAGGAUGUUGGCUUAGAAGCAGCCAUCAUUUAAAGAAAGCGUAAUAGCUCACUGGUCGAGUCGGCCUGCGCGGAAGAUGUAACGGGGCUAAACCAUGCACCGAAGCUGCGGCAGCGACACUAUGUGUUGUUGGGUAGGGGAGCGUUCUGUAAGCCUGCGAAGGUGUGCUGUGAGGCAUGCUGGAGGUAUCAGAAGUGCGAAUGCUGACAUAAGUAACGAUAAAGCGGGUGAAAAGCCCGCUCGCCGGAAGACCAAGGGUUCCUGUCCAACGUUAAUCGGGGCAGGGUGAGUCGACCCCUAAGGCGAGGCCGAAAGGCGUAGUCGAUGGGAAACAGGUUAAUAUUCCUGUACUUGGUGUUACUGCGAAGGGGGGACGGAGAAGGCUAUGUUAGCCGGGCGACGGUUGUCCCGGUUUAAGCAUGUAGGCUGGUUAUCCAGGCAAAUCCGGAUAAUCAAGGCUGAGGUGUGAUGACGAGGCACUACGGUGCUGAAGUAACAAAUGCCCUGCUUCCAGGAAAAGCCUCUAAGCAUCAGGUAACAUCAAAUCGUACCCCAAACCGACACAGGUGGUCAGGUAGAGAAUACCAAGGCGCUUGAGAGAACUCGGGUGAAGGAACUAGGCAAAAUGGUGCCGUAACUUCGGGAGAAGGCACGCUGGUGUGUAGGUGAAGUCCCUGCGGAUGGAGCUGAGACCAGUCGAAGAUACCAGCUGGCUGCAACUGUUUAUUAAAAACACAGCACUGUGCAAACACGAAAGUGGACGUAUACGGUGUGACGCCUGCCCGGUGCCGGAAGGUUAAUUGAUGGGGUUAUCCGUAAGGAGAAGCUCUUGAUCGAAGCCCCGGUAAACGGCGGCCGUAACUAUAACGGUCCUAAGGUAGCGAAAUUCCUUGUCGGGUAAGUUCCGACCUGCACGAAUGGCGUAAUGAUGGCCAGGCUGUCUCCACCCGAGACUCAGUGAAAUUGAACUCGCUGUGAAGAUGCAGUGUACCCGCGGCAAGACGGAAAGACCCCGUGAACCUUUACUAUAGCUUGACACUGAACAUUGAGCCUUGAUGUGUAGGAUAGGUGGGAGGCUUUGAAGCGUGGACGCCAGUCUGCGUGGAGCCAACCUUGAAAUACCACCCUUUAAUGUUUGAUGUUCUAACGUUGGCCCCUGACCGGGGUUGCGGACAGUGUCUGGUGGGUAGUUUGACUGGGGCGGUCUCCUCCCAAAGCGUAACGGAGGAGCACGAAGGUUAGCUAAUCCUGGUCGGACAUCAGGAGGUUAGUGCAAUGGCAUAAGCUAGCUUGACUGCGAGCGUGACGGCGCGAGCAGGUGCGAAAGCAGGUCAUAGUGAUCCGGUGGUUCUGAAUGGAAGGGCCAUCGCUCAACGGAUAAAAGGUACUCCGGGGAUAACAGGCUGAUACCGCCCAAGAGUUCAUAUCGACGGCGGUGUUUGGCACCUCGAUGUCGGCUCAUCACAUCCUGGGGCUGAAGUAGGUCCCAAGGGUAUGGCUGUUCGCCAUUUAAAGUGGUACGCGAGCUGGGUUUAGAACGUCGUGAGACAGUUCGGUCCCUAUCUGCCGUGGGCGCUGGAGAAUUGAGGGGGGCUGCUCCUAGUACGAGAGGACCGGAGUGGACGCAUCACUGGUGUUCGGGUUGUCAUGCCAAUGGCACUGCCCGGUAGCUAAAUGCGGAAGAGAUAAGUGCUGAAAGCAUCUAAGCACGAAACUUGCCCCGAGAUGAGUUCUCCCUGAGACU